GGUUUCAGGCACAAUGCCAAACAAAGAGUGGCUUCUUGGCAGUUAUUUGUUCAGUGAGUGGAUGAAGGGAUGAAAAUAAAACUUCAAUAUGUGUUGAUUUUUCAACUUUUAGACAACUCAGAGACAAAGCCUGGGAAACUGAAUUAUGGGUAUGGAAUGUGAAUGCUAUUGAUCUUGACAAUGUAAAAAUAGUAGUAAAGACGCAAGGGGAGCUGAUGAGACCCUCAUCUCUUCCACAAAGUAAGGAGUCAAAGACACUCUCUAGGGUGAAUGGGGCAAGAAGACCCCAACUCACUCUCUCUCUCUCUCUCUAUAUAUAUAUAUAUAUAUAUUUUUUUUUUUUUGAGACAGAAUUUCCCUCUUGUUGCCCGGGCUGGAGUGCAAUGGCACGAUCUCUGCUCACCACAAUCUCCACCUCCCGGGUUCAAGCAAUUGUCCUGCCUCAGCCUCCUGAAUAGCUGGGAUUACAGGCAUGUGCCACCACUCCCAGCUAAUUUUGUAUUUUUAGUAAGGGCGGAGUUUCUCUAUGUUGGUCAGGCUGGUCUCAAACUCCUGAUCUCUGGGGAUCCGCCUGCCUUGGCCUCCCAGAGUGCUGGGAUUACAGGCAUGAGCCACCACACCCGGCCUCAUCUAUAUUUUUUAAUUACAGAAUUAAACACUAGGGGAGCUGAAGAUAAGGCUACUUUUGGAGGGUGGGAGUUAGGGGUGGGGAGUGGUGUGGGGAUGCGGGAACUAGAUCCUCAUCUUUCACAGCAGAAAAUUAUUCAAGUUUUAAAUGCAUAAACUAAGAAAUACAGGUAAAACUUAUAUUAGAGGCACGGGUCAUUGGAGGAAGUAGCAAAAAGUGUUAGACAUGGCUGCCCUGAGGGAUGGCAUCAAGGAUGAGAAGAGGGCAGGGAAGAGGGACUCCUGCUUUACAGCAGAAGAUUUUUGAUGAUAUUUGUUUUGUUUUUUUUUAAAUCUCAGAAUGUUUUACAUUAAUUUUCUAAAAACUAACAGAGUUUGAGAGCCCUAGUUGGAGUUAAAAUACAGAGCCCGACUUUGUUCCCGUGAAAAUCAACAAGCACAACAAGCCUUGUAAUAUCCAUGCUCAUUUCAGAGUCAAGACAAAAUUAAUUUGGAAAAGAAAAUACAGCCGGGGACCAGAGUUAGCAACCUCAGGAAAUUCAGGGAAAUGUAAUUGAGUAAGAAUUAUCUCCUUAAUUACUUCUGACCAAAUCAAUAACAACGCUGGAUGAGAAACCACAGUUGCCACCAGUAAGGAUCAAGUCGCUGAGAAACCAACUGGGGUUCAGGCUUGUUUGAAAAGCAAAACACCUUCCUCUUCAUUGUUAGCAAACACGGUUCCUGGGGGUGUGCGCGGAGACAGGAGAAGGCUGCAGUUUGCAGCCUGGGGUGGAGAAAUGAGCUGAACUUGCUUAUUAUUUUCAAACGUGAAAGCCUGAAUAGAGGAGCUCCUUUCUCCAAAGAGGAGCAAGCAUGGAUACCCUUGAUGAUGUCAAAUGCUCAUUUUCAUGCUUUCCUGGGGUUAAUCAGAGACCCAAGCAGGUUCAUCACGCAAAUUUGAAGGAGAUGAGCCAAAUGCCUCAAAGGUAGGUGAGGGAGCAUUUUUGUUUGCAGAGCACAAGCUUUUUGUGGGAACUGCAAAGAUUUCUUUCAAACCAUCUCCAUGUGCCUUUGGGGAGGGAGUGGUGAGGAUCUUUGUCUCUAAGGGGCCCUGCUGGGCACGACCCUCUAGAUCUGUCAUGGUUUUGGAGCUGGGUUAAGAUCUUAUCUAGAGCUGAGAUUCAAGAGUGCCCUAUCUGCCUAACCUCUGACAGACCUACCUGUCCUCAUCCCUGUUGGGGUCUUUGGCAACUAACCAGGACCUUCUCAAGUCCAUCUCACACUUGGUGCCUUGCUCCUUGCUCUUCUGACCUGUGGACUUGUCAAUAAAUCAUCCUCACUGUCCAGAUAUUUCUCCAUUCCAAAAGGUCUUCCUGAGCCCCUCUGGGGGUCCCAGCUCAGAGCUAGGAAACACACACCCACCCCAAAACUCCCUCUCAGAGUCUCAUUGAUGGCAGGGUGGCUGGGGGGAGGUAGGCGGAUAAUUAAGCAGUUAUGAUAUCAUAUGAUGUAGCUGUGGUGGGAGUGAGGGAGCUGGGGGUGUGAGCACACAACUGACCCAGCAAGGGUGGAGGACAGUCAGAAGGAUAAACAAAAUGACUUUUUUUUUUUUUUGGAGACAGAAUCUCACUCUGUCAACAAGGCUGGAGUGCAGUGGCGUGAUCUUGGCUCACUGCAACCUCAGCCUCCCGGGUUCAAGUGAUUCUCCUGCCUCAGCCUCCCAAGUAGCUGAGAUUACAGGCAUAUGCAACCAUGCCCAGCUAACUUUUUUGUAUUUUUAGUAGAGACAGAGUUUUGCCAUGUUGGCCAGGCUGUUCUCGAACUCCUGACCUCAAGUGAUCUGCCCAACUCGGCCUCCAAAAGUGCUGGGAUUCUAGGCAUGAGCCACCGCGCCCGGCCUAAAGGAAAUGACUUCUGAGUACAGUUCUAAAGGAUGAGGAAUGAUUAGUAUGUGAGGUGAUGGAUAUGUUAAUUAGCUUGAUUCAGUCAUCCCACAAUGUAUACAUACAUCAAAACAUCACGUUGUAUGCCAUAAAUAUAUACAAUUUUUCAUUUUUCAAUUGAAAAAAUAAAAGAAGAGGAAGGAGGAAGAUGUGCCAGGCAGAGGGGACAGCAUUUGCAAAGAUCGGGAUGGAGACUCCAAGCCCAGGAAAUCUGCAGACUGGCAGCUAGACGGUACUAGUUUCCUCCGAGGCAUAGAUGCUCCAGUCAACUCCCCAUGGGAGCCUUCCUCUCUCACCUUCCAUCCAUGUGGCUUCGGAGGUGAACACGGGAUGCAGGCCCAGCCAAUCAAAAUAUUCCACCUCCCUGGCUGCAGGGAGGAUCUUAUUUUUUCAUGAGUCUGAGACCCAAAGAAAAACCAAGGUAUUUAGUCUCAGGACAUUUGCUGCUGCUCUUGGGAAAGAGAAGAUCUCUUUCUGCUGGGGUUGCUCCCAUGGAAGAAUGUGAGCCUAGAGCUCUUGGCGACUAUCUUGGCCAUCAACUUGGUAAAGCCUGCCUGAGAAUGAAGGCAACACAGAAGAAAGAAGAAUGUGCAAUCUAAGACUCAGAGAAGCUGGAGAAUUUUCCUAACGUCACACAUCAAAGAAAUGGAGGACUCAGGACAAGAAUACACGAUCCUCUCCUUCCAACAUGUCACCCAGCAGGUGCAAUAAGUCAAAGGGCAGGGUAUGGGAUUUGGAGUCAUACAGACCUGAGUUCACCAGCCAGGGUCUUUGGCAGAUAAGAUUACUCUUUGAGCCUCAGUUUCCUUGUGUGCAAGGUGAGAAUAAUCACAAAGCCUACUUCAUAGGCUUGUGAUGGAGAAUCAACACAACAUCACAUGCAGGCCCAGCCAAUCAGAAUAUUCCACCUCCCUGGCUGCAGGGAGGAUCUUAUUUUUUCAUGAGUCUGAGGAAGGAACAUGAGGCUGCACCUCCUGUGAUGGACGUGAUGUGUGUAUAAAGUUCUUAGGACAGAGCCAGGUUUAUGGGGGCUCUCAAUAAAUGUUAAUUGUGAAUGUAAUUGUUACAAUUAAUAAGCUGUGCUGUUAAUGAAGGUAUAAAAUGCAGGUGAUCUGCCACAUGACCACAGGCUAGUUGCUGAAUUACAGCGGCCAUUGGUCCCACUGGUAAAAUAGGGUUAUUAUCCACCUUUUGCUCAUGACACCAGGGCGUUACAAGAAUUAAUUAGCAGCUUUACAAUGUACUGUGCACUUUGAUGCUCUAUAAACAGAGAAAUGUGAUGGUUGAAUAUUUGUAUGAUAUUCAUUAUUGAGGAUAUCUUGAAUUGGUUUACUGAUGUUAAAAUAAAUUCAACCUUCCAAAAGUGGAUAAAUCUAUCUGAGUCAAACAAAAGAAGACUGGGUUUUUUAUUAUCUGCCAACACCUUAGAAACCUACAACAACUGGACAUCUGGACAUCCAUAGGCUGAGCUCAGUGCCCCGUGUCUUGAACAUAGAAAGAGAUGCUGAGAUUGUCGGGCUGUCUCUUCCUCUAGAUCUGAGCUCCGUCGGGGCCAAGAUUGCGUCUUGUCUUGCAGUAGAUCCCCAGCCUUGAGUACAGGAUUUGAUACGCAGCAAGUGCUGGAUAAAUGCUUGAUGAAUGAAAGGAUGGAUGGAUGGACAGAUGGAUGGACAGUUGGAUGGAUGAAUGGGAUCCUGAACCUCUUGGUGAUAGGAGAUUAGAUGGGUCUGGUCUCAAAUGCUUGUGCCAAAGUAGAUGGGGAGUCACAUCAGGUAUUGGGAGAGAAAACCUCUCAGGCAGUGUGGUAAAUUGGAAGGACACUUGACAUCACACGGACCUGGGUAACCAGCUCUGUGACCAUGGGCCUUGGA